ACAGCAUGAUGGGGGCAUUUACGGAUAUGGUCUUUAAGUCUUUCCCAGGUCUCAUGAAAUUGCUCACCAUCAAUUUGCGAGAAGCUUGUGAUGGCGUGCCUAAUCU